AGUGAACGCUGGCGGUAGGCCUAACACAUGCAAGUCGAACGGCAGCACAGUAAGAGCUUGCUCUUACGGGUGGCGAGUGGCGGACGGGUGAGGAAUACAUCGGAAUCUACUUUUUCGUGGGGGAUAACGUAGGGAAACUUACGCUAAUACCGCAUACGACCUACGGGUGAAGGCAGGGGAUCUUCGGACCUUGCGCGAUUGAAUGAGCCGAUGUCGGAUUAGCUAGUUGGCGGGGUAAAGGCCCACCAAGGCGACGAUCCGUAGCUGGUCUGAGAGGAUGAUCAGCCACACUGGAGCUGAGACACGGUCCAGACUCCUACGGGAGGCAGCAGUGGGGAAUAUGGGACAAUGGGCGCAAGCCUGAUCCAGCCAUACCGCGUGGGUGAAGAAGGCCUUCGGGUUGUAAAGCCCUUUUGUUGGGAAAGAAAAGCAGCAGGUUAAUACCCCGCUGUUCUGACGGUACCCAAAGAAUAAGCACCGGCUAACUUCGUG
rnacentral:rRNA from 1 species